UACGGAGGGUGCGAGCGUUAAUCGGAAUUACUGGGCGUAAAGCGCGCGUAGGUGGCUUGAUAAGCCGGUUGUGAAAGCCCCCGGGCUCAACCUGGGAACGGCAUCCGGAACUGUCAAGCUAGAGUGCAGGAGAGGAAGGUAGAAUUCCCGGUGUAGCGGUGAAAUGCGUAGAGAUCGGGAGGAAUACCAGUGGCGAAGGCGGCCUUCUGGACUGACACUGACACUGAGGUGCGAAAGCGUGGGUAGCAAACAGGAUUAGAUACCCCGGUAGU
rnacentral:rRNA from 1 species